rnacentral:rRNA from 1 species
AGAGUUUGAUCAUGGCUCAGAACGAACGCUGGCGGCAGGCCUAACACAUGCAAGUCGAACGCCGUAGCAAUACGGAGUGGCAGACGGGUGAGUAACGCGUGGGAACCUACCUUACGGUCGGGAAUAGCUCAGGGAAACUUGGGGUAAUACCGGAUACGCCCUUACGGGGAAAGAUUUAUCGCCGUUAGAUGGGCCCGCGUAGGAUUAGCUAGUUGGUGAGGUAAUGGCUCACCAAGGCGACGAUCUGUAGCUGGUCUGAGAGGAUGAUCAGCCACACUGGGACUGAGAUACGGCCCAGACUCCUACGGGAGGCAGCAGUGGGGAAUAUUGGACAAUGGGGGCAACCCUGAUCCAGCAAUGCCGCGUGAGUGAUGAAGGCCUUAGGGUUGUAAAGCUCUUUUACCAGGGACGAUGAUGACGGUACCUGGAGAAUAAGCCCCGGCUAACUUCGUG